UACAGAGGUCCCAAGCGUUGUUCGGAUUCACUGGGCGUAAAGGGUGCGUAGGUGGUGAGGUAAGUCGGAUGUGAAAUCUCCGGGCUCAACCCGGAAAUGGCAUUGGAAACUACCUUGCUGGAGGAUUUGAGGGGGGAUUGGAAUACUUGGUGUAGCAGUGAAAUGCGUAGAGAUGCGGAGGAAUACCAGUGGCGAAGGCGGCCUUCUGGGACUCAACUGACGCUGAAGCGCGAAAGCAUGGGGAGCGAACGGG
rnacentral:rRNA from 1 species